AAUACCAUCUUCCCUAACUUACGAUUUAUUCCCUCCAACAUUGUAUAUGCAUGUAAUUCAUUACGUACGUACAUAUGUGCGUGUAUGUGCAUAUGUGCGUAGAUGUAACCAACAAUAAUGCAAUUUUAUAGAAAAAAAAACUUUUACAAAAUUUAGCCACUGCCUUUCCUGAUUUUUAAUCUAUUAAUACAGUUUUUCUAUGUCUUUGGCUUCAGAGAAAAAGCCUCCAGUGUUAGUAAAAAAGUGUGAAUGUAUCGAAACUUGAGAGCAAGUUCUUGGACGGGUUACGUCGAAUUUAUUAAAGCACAUAACGCUCAUAUCGCGUCCAAAGGAGGAAUCUUUUUAGCAAGGCCCUGUCUGAAAGCGUUUAUUUAGAAGCGCUGCUUAAUUUGCCAACUGGUUUCCUAUUUCUACCCAUUCAAGUUUUUUUUUUAAUUUGCCAUCGUAUUUUUACAUAUAUUUAGUGUAAGACCAAAAAAUCUACACAACGUACUCCCUCUUCAAAAGAGCCACAGCUAAAAAUCAGAUCCGGAAAUAUAACUGCUUGAACAUAUUCAACGCAAAUAAUACAAAAAUAGGUAUAACAGUUCAUUUAUGAAAAACAUCUGCCUAUUUUUUUUUUUUAGUUGUUUUGAAGAAUGUGCGCGGUAUGUAUGUAUUUGGUAUCAAUUAUACGAUAAAAUACGCUUAGCUCGGCUAAAAUACAAAUAAAAAUUGUUUUCGAGAUAGGUACUUAGUCAUAUUUUUCUAGACUUGAAUGUGAAUCGAAAUCCUCAAGCCCAUUAUUUAUUUCGAACGGGUUACCACCGUGAGCCUCAUUAUCGUUGCCAAUUGACUUAAAACUAAAAUCGUCGAUUCCUAAAACUAAGCUGUUUUUGUUUAAUCUAUUCGAAAUGUUGUUAAAAAAGACAUUUGCAGAAAUUUGUCUGUAGAACUUGGAUAAUUGGCGAAAUUCCAUAACGAGACAGCAACAUUAUGAGACCUUUAUGAAAAGGAGAUAUCUUGCUUGCGAUCCCGCUAAUUUGGACAACAGGCCGUAACUAGGAAUAACGGAGUUUCAUAAUGAUUUUCUCUGAAGGAAGCCGUGAAGAAUUAGGGUUGUCAUUAGAACCAAAGCUUUAGACCUUAAUAUCAAUUUAGUUAGUGAAUUUUUAUUAUUAUUUUUUCCUCUAAUUUUACCCACUGAUUUAAUUUUUUUCUUUUUGUAGCAAGGUAAAGAGAAGAAAAAUCGAAGAUCUAAUUAGUUUCGAAUUGACCUUAAUUAACGCGUGCAAAACUCUAACAAAACUUAACAAUUUUUGCUAACAACUACAAAGAACCGCUGAUGAGACUUCAAGCCCCUCCCGCUCAUAUAAUCCUCAAUCAACCAACUAACCAUUAAUAAUAAUUAACACUGAACUAAUAAAUAUCUCAUGUAAAUAACCUUUUGUGCAUUCUGUUUUACAAAAUUUUUGCUGCUGCUCUGAAUUCCUGAAAACGCAGAUACGCCGCAAGAGAGUAUGCAGAUCCCUAUUUAGGACAUGGCAUCGGACCGGUACCCGGCUAUGGGGCAACCAUGUAUCGAGGUGGAUUCAAUCGUUUCACGCCAUAUUAAUUUAAGAAGAUACCUGGACGACUAGGUAUGGAGCAGCAAGUUCAUGCUGUAAACGAGGGAGCAUUCUCCUAGCAGCUGCGCUCACCACCCACACUCAAUGAUUUACACAUCACAUGAAACCAAAUAUGAAUAUGUAUUGCAUAAGGACAUAAAUUUAGUGUUAAGUUAAGAGAUACAUGAAAACCUUGAAAUGCUCAAGAAACAAUGCAAUUUUUAAUGAAGCAACCAAAAAAUACUCAUGCCAACCAAGCGUAAUUACGAUGAGAUUAAAAUCAAAUAUUUAUAUGAUAGCACAGCCAAGCAAAGAUUAUAAAGUAUAAACUUAGUUGAAGAUUAUCUAUAACAUAUACAUACUCACAUAUAUAAAGAGAUAUGUGCAUAUAAUUGAAAAAGGCAGUAAAAAAAAAACAGAAGACACAAUUAACGGAAAAAUGCGUAGUUGUUAA